GGGUGUGAUCACACUAGCACUAAUACACCGGAUCUCAUCAGAACUCCGCAGUUAAGCAUUCUUGGGCGAGAGUAGUACUAGGUUGGGUGACCCCCUGGGAAGUCCUCGUGUUGCAUCCU